GAUGAACGCUGGCGGCGUGCCUAAUACAUGCAAGUCGAGCGAACAGACGAGGAGCUUGCUCCUCUGACGUUAGCGGCGGACGGGUGAGUAACACGUGGAUAACCUACCUAUAAGACUGGGAUAACUUCGGGAAACCGGAGCUAAUACCGGAUAAUAUAUUUAACCGCAUGGUUCAAUAGUGAAAGACGGUUUUGCUGUCACUUAUAGAUGGAUCCGCGCCGCAUUAGCUAGUUGGUAAGGUAACGGCUUACCAAGGCAACGAUGCGUAGCCGACCGGAGAGGGUGAUCGGCCACCCGGGAACUGAGACACGGUCCAGACUCCUACGGGAGGCAGCAGUAGGGAAUCUUCCGCAAUGGGCGAAAGCUUGACGGAGCAACGCCGCGUGAGUGAUGAAGGUCUUCGGAUCGUAAAACUCUGUUAUUAGGGAAGAACAAAUAUGUAAGUAACUAUGCACGUCUUGACGGUACCUAAUCAGAAAGCCACGGCUAACUACGUG
rnacentral:rRNA from 1 species